AGGUGCUUCCCUGGUUGAAAGGCUAAGGUGCUUUCUUGGAGGUGUAAUAUUGCUGAAUAUUGUCUGACUCUUGCUUAUCAGAUGAGUUCUAUCUCUUGAAACGGUCUUACUCCCCCAUUUUAAGAAGGUGAUUGGUUCACCUUUUAAAUGCAACUGAUAAUUAAUAUAUAUUUAAAUAGAUAAAUUAGAAUGUUAGUAAAUUUUAAAAAAUAGAGCUGUUGGAUAACUAAUAUAAUACUCAUCCGCUGCAGUUUGUAUUAACUU
rnacentral:misc_RNA from 1 species